rnacentral:rRNA from 1 species
UACGAAGGGGGCUAGCGUUGCUCGGAAUCACUGGGCGUAAAGCGCACGUAGGCGGAUCCUUAAGUCGGGGGUGAAAUCCUGGAGCUCAACUCCAGAACUGCCUUCGAUACUGAGGAUCUCGAGUCCGGGAGAGGUGAGUGGAACUGCGAGUGUAGAGGUGAAAUUCGUAGAUAUUCGCAAGAACACCAGUGGCGAAGGCGGCUUACUGGCCCGGUACUGACGCUGAGGUGCGAAAGCGUGGGGAGCAAACAGG